UUAAAAAAUAGUCAUUAUCUUAUAAUUUGCUAAAACAUUUUUUCAUCAAGUAUGUGGCAGAAUUGUUUAAUUUUUUUUAUAUUGAGUAAUAUCACUUUUCAACAAACAAAGGGAAAUGAUUAUUUAAAUGAAGUCAAUAACAUGCUUACACAUCCUUAUUGGAAAUAUUCUAUUGAGAAUCUCAAAAUGUAUUUGGAUCAAGAUUCACAUUCCUUAUUAUUUUACGAAAAAACUACGGAAACAGUUACUAUUGACGCCUCCACUUUUUUUCCAGACUCUACUACUGAAUUUGUUACAAAAGAUAAUUUCCAAGAAAAGAUAAUCCAGUACCAUUUAUUAUUAAGCUGCUACUAUGGAUUUGGAUUAAAGAUCCAUUUAUACUAUUUAACAAAAUUAUGUAAAUUAUGUAUACAAGUCACUCCUAUACAUUGCGAAAUUCCAUUAAGAUAUCUAAUUAUAGAUUAUAUUGUGGAACUUAUUAAAAUGAAAAAUUCUUUACUUUAUUUUUCUCGAUGGUUGGACGAUAAACCUAAAUUAACGAACUUAGUUCACACAAUCAUCGAUGAUCUCAUUAUAAUAUCUAAAAAUUCAAUGCUCGAAAUAUCAUAGAAGGAAUUAUGCUAAAUCAAAAUUUUUCAUUAAAUAUAAAAGUUUUUGAAAUUUUAAAGUACUUCGGAGAAAAUAUAAAUAUGAAUAUUUAUACUAAUCGCCAAUAUGGUUUCAUUUAUGAUAGAGUAACAUUUGAGUGUAUUGGAGUGACAAAACAUGUAGAAUUUCCAAUUACUCCACCUCCGAAAUAUAAUAAAGAUGAUGAUGAUGAUGUCUACAUAAUGAAAUUUUAAGUAGGAUAAUUGAAUCUAUUAUUUCAGAAACCCAUUUUGUACACGAUUUCCAAAUUUAAAUAAAUUAUCAAUAUUAUAUUAUUUGAUUCUUUAAAAAAUUAUUACUCUCUCAUAAUUAUGAUAUUAAUAAUUAAAACUAAUGUUUGAUAAAAUAUAUAUUUUAUUUUAUAUUUCAGCAAUCUAUAAAUUUGACAUUGGUGAUUUAAGAAAAAUAAAAUUUAUAUAUUAAAUAGCA